rnacentral:rRNA from 1 species
CUACGGGUGGCAGCAGUGGGGAAUAUUGCACAAUGGACGAAAGUCUGAUGCAGCAACGCCGCGUGGAGGAUGACACUUUUCGGAGCGUAAACUCCUUUUAUAUAGGAAGAUAAUGACGGUACUAUAUGAAUAAGCACCGGCUAACUCCGUGCCAGCAGCCGCGGUAAUACGGAGGGUGCAAGCGUUACUCGGAAUCACUGGGCGUAAAGAGCGUGUAGGCGGGUUAAUAAGUCAGAAGUGAAAUCCAAUGGCUCAACCAUUGAACUGCUUUUGAAACUGUUAACCUAGAAUAUGGGAGAGGUAGAUGGAAUUUCUGGUGUAGGGGUAAAAUCCGUAGAGAUCAGAAGGAAUACCGAUUGCGAAGGCGAUCUACUGGAACAUUAUUGACGCUGAGACGCGAAAGCGUGGGGAGCAAACAGGAUUAGAUACCCGCGUAGUC